AACCUAUACCUGCCUAUAAUGUGAAGUUAUUUUAAUAAACCGUCCUACACAUAUAAUAUUGAUGUAUUGUUUUUAUAAAGAAGGUAAAAUAGCGCUAGAUAUGACCCUCGAGAAUUAACUUAUGUUUCUGUGGGCCCACUGGCAGUCAGACCCCUGCUAUGCCUUUUAUGGAGUGGAUGGCACCACCUGCCCCAUAUUACCUCAGCCAGAUAGAAGACUUGUCCCCAUCCUCUUUGAAGGAGCCACCCUGCACCGCCAUGGCACCAGAACAGUCUGAUACAGAGAAGGCUGAGAUAUGUACAGCUCUGAGCCCACUGUAUGAGGUCAUCAGCAACAACAGCAGUCCUGCCAUAAGAUUCAUAACCAGCAGAUGCUGCUUUAUCCCGGUGCCCUGACUGGGAGUGCUGGCCAGUGUUUUGAAGCCAUGGUAGAGAGAGGGGGUCCUCUAGGGGAGCUGGUCCAGCGGACUGACCUCAGUCCACAUAGGGUGUUGUGUGUGGCCUCUUUGUCAAGGAGUUAGCUGUGGCCAUUUGGGGACAUCUACCCUGAAAACACGGAGGUCAACCACCAAGGGGGAGCAAAACACCCCUUGACACUAACAGAAUGGAAGUCACUGAGAGUGGCAGAAUGUUUAUGCAGAACAAGGGGCCAAGGAUGGAGCCUUGGGGAACACCACAAGUAAGAGAGGCUACAGAAGAAGAGUAGGGAGAUGACAAGAAAUGAGGGGACAGAUGGGGGAAUGACAUGCAACAAAGAUCCCUGGCCAGAUGUGAACUGGGGUUGUUGCGGUUCUUGGUCGGCACCUGAACCCUCAAGCCAGUGGUUCCCAACCUGUGGGUCAGGACUCCCACAAAGGGUCUGAAGUGGGGCUGCAACUUAGAUUAUUUUCAUUAUUGACAAAUCUACUGAAUAUUUUCCAGAUUAAACAAUUAUUUGUGUGGUUUGUAAAAUGCUCAUGUCCCAGAGCUCAUGGUUACUUUCCAAAACCUCUUUGUACGACCAGCGAUCCAAAACGCAAAGACAAUCGAUUUAUUAUCACAGAGGAGUAUGAAAACCAGAAAAUAUUUAUAUUUGGGAAGCUGGAAUUUUUGCUUAAAAAAUGACUGACACAAUUAUUUGAUUAUAAAAAAUGUUGCAAUAGUUAACUUUCUGAUGGUCGACUAAUGGAUUAAUUGACUAAUCAUUGUAGCUCUAGUCUGAUGUUAAACCUCAGGGGAGUUGCAAGAAGAUUAACAGGAUAGAAAAUCAGGAAAAUAUGUUUCUGCUACCUUAAAUUAUGUUCUGACAUUCCCCUUGUUCCUAUUCAACAAAUGAGUGAUACUGGGAUAUAUCAAUAAAAAUGGACCUGACCUGACUCUUUGCUUUUUUCUUGUGAAUUACACAAUUAGUUUAGGUGUUUCAGAGUUUUUAAAAAAUAUCAAAUUAAAUGAUAAAAAUCACUCUUUGGUUAAACUUGUCAUAACUGACAGAAAUACAACUGUAGACAUUGUUUUGUUUUAAGGGGUCACAAGCCAAAAAAGUUUGGAAACCACUACCCUAUGGCCACCAGGGCGCCCCAGUUCCUUGCCUUAGGUGAAAGUAUUUGGA